rnacentral:rRNA from 1 species
AUGAAGCUCACGAUGCUCUUCCUCGUGUUGUUUAGCUUUCACCUCGCAGCCGGCGACGACGUCCAGGUCCAGUUUGCCUUCCCAGGCCUCGCCGGUGCCAACCUCACCCUCGACGGCAACGCCACGGUCACCCCCGACGGCCUCCUGGUGCUUACCAGCCGCAAGACCAACCUGAAAGGCCACGCGUUCUACCCCACCCCGCUGCGGUUCCGCGGGUCGCCGGGCGGGCAGGUGCACUCCUUCGCCUCCUCCUUCGUUUUCGCCAUCGUCUCCGACUACACCGACUUCAGCGCCCACGGCAUGGCCUUGGUCGUGUGCCCCACGGCGGACAGCCUCUCCUCCGCGCUGCCGGCCGGCUACCUGGCCCUCCUCAACGUCCAGAACAACGGCAACGCAAGCAACCACCUCUUCGCGGUGGAGCUCGACACCACCCAGAACACCGACUUCCAGGACAUCAACGCCAACCACGUCGGCAUCGACGUCAACGAUCUGCACUCCCUGCAGUCCUACCCUACGGGCUACUACCUCGACGACGGCGGCGACUUCAGGAACCUGACUCUCUUCAGCAGGGAGGUGAUGCAGGUGUGGGUGAACUACGACGGCGGGACCGGGCAGAUCGACGUGACACUGGCGCCCAUCGGAGUGGCCAGACCGGCGAGGCCGCUGGUAUCAGCCACCUACAACCUCUCCUCGGUGAUCACGGAGCAGGCGUACAUCGGCUUCUCGUCGGCCACCGGCGGGAUCAACACGCGGCACUACGUGCUCGCCUGGAGCUUCGCCAUGAACGGACCUGCUCCGGCCAUCGACGUCGCCAAGCUACCCAAGCUGCCGCGCUUCGGACCCAAGCCUCGCUCCAAGGUCCUGGAGAUCGUUCUGCCCAUAGCCACAGCGGUAAUCAUCCUGGCUGUCUGCACGGUUGUCGCCCUACUCCUGCUGAGACACCUGAGGUACGCACAGCUGCUCGAGGACUGGGAGGUCGAAUUCGGGCCCCAUCGAUUCUCGUACAAGGAAUUGUACCAUGCCACCAAAGGAUUUAAGAGCAAGCAUCUACUUGGCGCCGGGGGUUUCGGAAAAGUGUACAAAGGCGUGCUCCACAAGUCCAAAAUGGAGGUGGCCAUAAAGAAGAUCUCCCACGAGUCGAGGCAAGGGAUGAAGGAGUUCAUCGCCGAGGUUGUCAGCAUCGGACGCCUCCGGAACCGCAACCUAGUGCAGUUACUGGGCUACUGCAGGAGGAAGGGGGAGCUGCUUCUGGUGUACGAGUACAUGCCAAACGGCAGCCUCGAUAAGUACCUCUACGGCGAGUGUGAUGAGAACAACGUACACGUGCUUGAUUGGACCAAAAGGCUUCAUAUCAUCAAAGGGGUCGCCUCCGGCUUGCUCUACAUCCAUGAAAAAUGGGAGAAGAUUGUGAUCCAUCGAGACAUCAAGGCCAGCAACGUGCUCCUCGACAGCGAGAUGAACGGACGCUUAGGGGACUUCGGGCUCGCAAGGCUGUAUGACCACGGCACAGAUCCACAGACCACACAUGUGGUGGGCACCAUGGGCUAUCUAGCCCCGGAGCUGGUGCGCACGGGGAAGGCGUCGACCCUCACAGACGUGUUCGCGUUCGGCGCGUUCCUUCUCGAGAUAACCUGUGGGCGAAGGCCGGUGAGCAAUGGCCCGCAGGACAGUCACGAGAUGCUAGUGGACUGGGUGCUUGAUCAUUUUCGCCGAGGAUGUCUCGCCGAGACGGUGGACGUGAGGAUGGGAGGUGACUAUAGUGUCGACGAGGCAUGUCGGGUGUUGAAGCUCGGGCUCUUGUGCUCGCACCCAUUCGCCAGCACCAGGCCAAGUAUGAGGCAUGUCAUGCAGUACCUUGACUCCGACACGCCGCUUCCAGACUUGUCAUCGGCAGAUAUGAUGAGCUUCAGUACGAUGGCCCUGUUGCAGAACCAGGGGUUCGACUCGUACGCCAUCUCUUAUCCAUCUUCAAUGGGGAGCAUUGGCACGGUAUCUUACAUCUCAGGUGGAAGAUGA